rnacentral:rRNA from 1 species
UACGGGGGGGGCAAGCGUUGUUCGGAAUUACUGGGCGUAAAGGGCUCGUAGGUGGCCAACUAAGUCGGACGUGAAAUCCCUCGGCUUAACCGGGGAACUGCGUCUGAUACUGGAUGGCUUGAGUUCGGGAGAGGGAUGCGGAAUUCCAGGUGUAGCGGUGAAAUGCGUAGAUAUCGGGAGGAACACCUAUGGCGAAGGCAGCUCGCUGGGACGUUACUGACGCUGAGACGCGAAAGCGUGGGGAGCAAACAGG